UCAAAGUCUCCCCCAGACACCUUUUUCUGUCUGCAAACUGAUAGCCUGUUGACCCGACUGAGCCGAAGUGUGAGAACCCCACAUCAGAAGGGGAAACAUGAGAAACUGAAGUUUGAGAGUCCUGAGUGGAAGCCCCCUGAGAGAGUUAUUGGAGGCUUGGGAUAAGCAGUAGAUGCCAGUCCUAGCUGAUAUAGAGAAAAGAAAAGAAAAGAAAAAUGUAUAUGUAGAGAAUGAGCUUUGCUGAGGGAUACAGGAAGACCAAUGUGGCUAAAUAAAGGUACUUAAAAAAGAAAAGAAAAAUGAAAGAAAAGGGCAAUAUAUAAACAGGAUUACAUGGGAUUUUUUGUUUGUUUGUUUGUUUCUUUCUGUGUCUCUUUCUUUGUCUCCUAUGCAACCACAUGGUUUCUUAAGAUUUGUGCCUUUCCCAAUUUAACUAAGAGAUUUAUUGUGGGAAUGAUCAGUGUGUGUGUAAACCUCAGAGGAAAACAAAAUUC